AAGCACAGACUACCAAAGCAAAAAUGGACAAAUGAGAUCAUAUUAAGUUUGAAAAGAUUCUGCAAAGCAAAAAUUCAAUGAACUAAGUGAACAGGCAACC